UGGGGAAUUUUGCACAAUGGGGGAAACCCUGAUGCAGCGACGCCGCGUGAUUUAGAAGGCCUUCGGGUUGUAAAAAUCUUUUUUAUGGGAUGAAAAUGACAGUACCAUAAGAAUAAGGUCCGGCUAAAUACGUGCCAGCAGCCGCGGUAAUACGUAUGGACCGAGCGUUGUCCGGAAUCAUUGGGCGUAAAGGGUACGUAGGCGGCCCAGUAAGUUAGAAGUGAAAUAAUAUAGCUCAACUAUAUAAAGCUUUUAAAACUGCUAGGCUUGAGAGAUGGAAGGGAAAGUGGAAUUCCUAGUGUAGCGGUGAAAUGCGCAGAUAUUAGGAAGAAUACCGGUGGCGAAGGCGACUUUCUGGUCAUCAUCUGACGCUGAGGUACGAAAGCGUGGGUAGCAAACAGG
rnacentral:rRNA from 4 species